CCAUCUGUUCUAAACUUAACCCAUUUCGGGUUUAUACAGUCUUUAUCAUACAUAACUGAGCGAUCGGGGAUAACUAGGAUCACUACCUAAUACUAUCAUGAUUCUAUCAUAAUGUCAUAUUCUUAUUUUUACACAUAAUCAUAAUCAUAAUCUUAACUCUUACUUAAAGUUCAUGUCAUUAUUUUUUUUUUAUACAUUUCAAUGUGUGCAUAUAUACCACAUUAAUUACUAUGAGCCGUACCUCAUAUGCUACAUUAUCUCUUCGUUUUAGCAAACGGAGUUUUUGCAUUUGUUACUAUGAGCCGUACCUCAUAGACUACAUUAUCUCUUCAUUGUAGCAAACGGAUAUUUUCUCAAUUUUUUUUUUCUUUUUCUUUCUUUCUACGAGCAUGUUACUCAUUUCAAUUCUUCUUUCAAAUAAUUUCUAUAAGUAUAUACAUCAAUUGUCUUGCUUAGCAUUUUAUUGUUAGAACCAAUUCAUAUGACUUUGCAUAACAUUGAUAUCAUACAAGAUUUCAUUCACAUUAUCAUGACUUUGCAUAACCAUUAAAAUCUCGUUUGUAUUGAGUAAAAGUAAAUAACACAAUUUUAAUGACAUGAUUCAAACUAUUCAAAGGGAGAGUUAACUAACUAAAGGAACUCACCGUGAAUCAUUCCUGGAGAUUGAAAGCAACUUAUCCACAAUUUGCAGCUUCUUCUAUCUCUAAAACUCCAUAAUCACUUUUCCAAAAUAGCUUCUGCCUUAGCUUAUAGGUCUUUCCUUUUCUAAAACAGUCCAACCCACUUGCGGCAUACUCCUACUUUAUCAACCAGCAUAUACAAAAUUCUCAUUUCAGUCCCAUAAAUAAUCUAUUUUGGAACUUUAAUCCCUUUUUAUGCUUCAGCUCAUAGCUUCCACUUCUUGGCAGCUCAUGCUUCGUUUCAAGCUUCAGAUCAAAAGCCCAAACCCUAGAUUUUGUGUCUUGCUCCAACAUGCUCAAACUUGCCUCUUAUGUUCAAAUUAUAGCUCCAAACUUCAAUUCUCUUUGCAAUAUCACCAAUUCCGUUCUUAACCUCUUAGAUCCUUGUUAGAGUGCAUAUGAACAACUUCUCACGUGAGAAAAGAUUGAAGGAAUAAACCCUCUAAUAGUUCCCUUUGUUCUAUGCUCAAGAAAUUAGCAAAACAUGAAGAAUCACUUGAAAGAAUGAAAUUUUUUUUGAUGGAUUGGUGAGCAAGAGAGGAGGGGCGAUGGUAUAGAGAGGAAGGGGAAGAUAAUUUCAGAUUUUUUUUUUUCAGUAGGAAAGUAGUAGAAACUUGUAGAAAAAUCAUACAAUUUGUCUUAUAUACACCUUUUAUUGUAAAAUGACAAUUUUGCCCUUUUUUACAUUUUCUCCAAACGAAAAUAUCCGGUAAAGUGCCGUAAAGUUUUACGCAGUAUAUUUCAUUCCCCGUUGUCCGUUGGAAUAAUAUGUUUCGGUCCUGAAAAGUCUUAUGCACAAUUUUCAUUUUACCCUUCUCUUAAAAAAAAUUCCAAAGAUAAAAGAACUUAUACUAAAUUUUUACAUGUGGGGUAUUACAAUUUGUCUAAUCUGCUCCAAGCUCAUCAUGGACCUUGGAUGUUUGUUGGUGAUUUCAAUUCAAUCUUGGGAGCACAUGAGAGAUUAGGGGGAAGACUUCCUUUAAAAAUUGCUUGCUUUGAAUUUAUGAAAUGGUCAAAUCAGAAUGCUCUGGUUCACCUUGAAACUAAUGGUGUCAAAUUUAUGUGGACUAACAAAAGAGAAGGUAGGGCUUUCAUGGCACAAAGGCUUGAUAGAGCCAUUUGUAAUGAGGAUUGGAUUGAUAACUGGACUGUAUCAAGCUGUAACACUUUGAUUAAAUGCUUCUCUGACCACUUCCCCUUACUUAUAACUUUACAAGAACAUUCCUAUCAAUAUAAUUCCAAGAUUCAAAUUCUUCAAGGCUUGGACAUAAUUUGAAAGCUGUGAGGCCAUUGUUUCUGCUCACUGGAAUAUUCCUAUUACUGGAACACCUAUGCAUGUGCUUCACUUCAAGCUUAAAAGCCUGAAACCUAAGCUAAAGGUGUGGAAUAAAACUGUUGUGGGAGAUUUUCACCAACAGGUUCAUUUGGCUCAAGAACAGCUAAAUGAAGGCCAGAUUGCUAUUGACCAAUUGGGAUUCAGCACGGAUAGAUCCUUGGAGGAACUGACAUGCCUAACCAACUACAGUCAUGCUCUAACUCUAUUAAACAUGUUCUGGAAGGACAAAUAUAAGAAUGCUAAGUUUCUUGAAGGGGAUAGGAACACUGGGUUUUUCCAUAGAAGUGCAAAAAUCAGAGAGGCUCAAAGCUUUAUCAGUCUUCUCAAGAGUGGUGAUGAAGUGUUCACUACCACUACAGAGAUUGAAACACAUGUGCUGGAGUACUUCACAAACAUCUGUUCUGCCAAUAUUCAGUAUGAGGAGAAUGAUCUUCCCAACAGACUCAUUCCUCAACUUGUCACUAAUGCUGAAAAUGACAUGCUCACAGCUCUUCCCCUUCAUACAAAGAUAAAAAAUGCAGUUUUUGACCUUCAUGGUGAUGCAGCUCCUGGUCCUGAUGGAUACUCAGGACAUUUUUACCCAUUCUUCUGGCACAUUGUGGGGGAGGAUGUGGUGAAAUCCACACAACAUUUCUUUUUGCACAACUACAUAAUUCCUAAUUUGAACUCUAAUCUCCUGAUUCUCAUACCCAAAGUUUCUAGAGCUGAUCAGUUAGAUAACUUCAGACCCAUUGCUUUGACUAAUUUUCAGUUCAAAAUCAUUACCAAGAUCAUUGCUGAUAGGUUGGGUAGCAUUGCCUCAAGAAUCAUUUCCAUUCACCAAAGAGGAUUCAUACCUGGUAGGCACAUUCAAGACUGCCUCAUCAUAGCCUCUGAAACUGCAAAUCUGCUUCACAAGAAGACCUAUGGAGGGAAUAUAGCUUUAAAAGUAGAUAUUAGAAAAGCUUUUGACACCAUAAACUGGAAUUUCCUCAUACAUGUGCUCCAAUGUUUUGGAUUUAGUCAAAUAUUCUGUACUUGGAUUCUCACUAUAUUACAGUCUGCUAAGCUUUCAAUUAACAUCAAUGGUAAAGCUGUUGGAUUCUUCUCUUGUACAAUAGGUGUGAGACAGGGAGACCCCCUAUCUCCACUCCUCUUCUGUUUUGCUGAAGAAGUUCUCAGCAGGGGGCUUGAAGCUUUGGUUUUGGAUGGUCAUUUGUCUCAGAUAAGAGCCACUAGAAACAUGUACAUUCCUAGUCAUUGCUCGUAUGCAGAUGAUAUUUUAAUUUUCUGCAAAGGAACCGCUAAUAAUGUCCGAAACAUAAUGCAGCUUUUUGAGGUUUAUGGUAGUUAUUCUGGUUAGAAGCUGCUCAAAAGAGUAAAUUUUACACUGGUGCCAUCUCUCUCUCUAGAAUCCAUAAUAUUACCUCCAUCACUGGGUUCAGGCAUGGCAGUCUACCUUUCACUUACCUGGGUGGACAGGAUUCUAUGGUGGACAGGAUUUUGAUCAAACUUAACGCAUGGAGAGGAAGACUUCUCACUUUAAUGGGAAGGGUUCAACUUGUUAAUGCAGUGAUUAGUAGCAUGCUGAGAUACUCUUUCCAUAUAUAUAAGUGGCCUACUAGUUUACUCUCUGAAAUUGCAAAGUACAUGAGAAAUUUCAUUUGGACUGGAACUUGUUAUCAACGUAAAAUAUGCACUAUUUCCUGCACAGGUCAACAAAGCUUCUCUUCUCCUUCUUGCUUGGAAACUUGUCACCUCUAAUGAGCAGUGGGCUCACAUUUGCAGGGCCAGGUUCCUCAAUAACUACACACCUAAAGCUCAUUAUAUUACCUCAUUUGUUUGGCCUGUCUUGAAACCCAAUAUUCAGUACAUCUUUGACCACUCUAUCUGGUCUGUUGGAAAUGGCAGCACCAUAAACUUCUGGUCUGAUAAAUGGUUGGACUCAUCUAUAGCUGAGCACUGGAAUAUUCUUCCACAUCUGCUCCCUGACAUUGAGCUGAAAGUGGCUGACUUCAUAGUUAAUGGUACUUGGUGCCUUCCUAUAUACAUACAACACAAGGACCCUGCUUCAGAGCAUCACCCUGCCUACAGAUGACAUUCCUGAUGUUCUUCAAUGGAUUUCAGCUCUUGAUGGUCAGCUAACCAGCAAAAUUGCUUUCUCAUCUUUAUUUGGCAAUGGUCCCAAAGUCUCUUGGGCCACCAUUAUCUGGAACAGCUACAUUCCACCAUCUAGAGCUUUUAUCACAUGGAGGCUUCUCCAUAACAAAAUCCCUACAGAUGAGAAUUUGAGAAAGAGAGGGUGCAUCAUUGUAUCUGGUUGUUGUUUUUGUUUGAAACAGGCUAAAUCCUCAUCACAUAUAUUCUUUGAUUGCAUUAUCACUUCUAGCUUAUGGGACUGGCUUAGCAAGGGUCUGGAUAUACCUCUGAAUCUCUCUAGCUGUCUAAAUCUGCUGCUUAACUCUAUGAGAAGAGGAAGCAAAAUGGUUCAACAAAUUAUGCAAUAUAAUCAGCUAUCAUCCACACCAUCUGGGCCGUUUGGAUUGAAAGAAAUCAGAGACGUUUCCAUGAUAAACAUCAGAACAUGCCCACUUUGUUCAAUACAAUUUUCGCUGAGGUUAAGCUUAGCUAUAGACUUUGCUUAACAAAAGGCAAUUCCAAUAUGCAUGACUACAAAGUCUCUAGGCUUUUUGAUAUUCCUUUUAAGACAAAACAUGUAAUCAUAAGGCAGGAAGUUAUGUGGAGUCCACCACCUGCUAAUAAGGUUAAAUUCAAUUGUGAUGGUUCAACUGUAGGGGCUCAGUCUUGUGGGGCCGUUGGAUUUGUCAUCAGAGACUCUAAUAGUACCUUUCUAGGAGCCAUUUCUAGUAACAUAGGGCAUGCUACUGCUCUUGAAGCAGAAUUCUCUGCUUGCUUACUAGCUAUUGAAACUGCUAUGGAGAUGCAACUGAACCAAAUAUGCUUGGAAACCGACUCUAUUAGAGUGGUCAAUGCUUUCAGAAAAAACACAGGGAUUCCCUGGCAGAUGAGAGUUAGGUGGCAUAACUGUUUGAAAUUCUGCAAUAAUAUUGACUGUUCUUGUGUCCAUGUGCUCAGGGAAGGGAAUCAGGUUGCAGAUGCCUUAGCAAAGAAUGGACAGGGUCUCGCGAUGUUCUCCUCUCAAUGGUGGUCCACACCCCCCACUUCCAUUCUAGCUAUUCUUUAUAGGGAUAGUAUAGGGUUAGCUUACUCUAGACUAUCUACAGUUAAAUUUUGCCCUCCCUUUGUUUUUGAGGUGCUUUUUGCUGUUUUUGCUCUGUUUUUUAAACUGUUUGAUGUAAGUGGUUCAGGCUGCACCUGGUUUUUCUAAUUAAUUUUAGCUUUAUGAAAGAAAAAAAAUGGUUCGUUGAGAGGAGCAAGGUGUAGUAGUGUCAUGUUAUGGAAUUAAGAAUUUGGCAACACUAACGAUUAGACAAUGAUGAAGUGUUUCAAGAUAUAUACUUGGAUGUUGAAUUUUUUGAUGAACACAAAAGUUGGAAGUGGAUUAAGCAGUUUGGAUUGUUGAAAGGAAUUAAGAGUAAUCGGGAGGGAGGAAUUAUUCAUUGCAACAAGAUGAAAGAGUUGUAGAAAAAUUAAAAAUUGAUAUGGAAAUUGUCCAAUAAAGUGGAGAAUUUAAGAUGGUAUGGAAUUGUGUAAAUCUUGAGUUUUGAAUGAAAUUCAAGGUUGAGUUCUAUUGGAUUGAAACUGCAAAAUAUAGCAAUAUACUGGUAAGCAAUGUGUAACACAUGUGUUGUGACAUUUUAGGCCAUUGCCAUAAGGUGUUUGAGCGCCACUAGAAAAAUGUUCUAACUUGAGUGAGGUUUGUGUCAUUAUGACAUUUUAUAUUUUGAUGUAAGACACCUCUGAUCUAAUAUUUUGAAAAUUUAAAGAGAAAAUUAUUUAUUUGUGAAAUUUAAAGUCAAUAAGUUUUAAGUCUUAUUUUUAUUAUUUGAAAAAUAUUAUUCGGCUUUUUUCACCUAGUAUUAAAAAAGUUAAUCGUGGGGUGUUACGUGGAUUUGUAUGAUUGGCACUAAAUUUUCAAUUUUUAGAUUUUCAUAUAGUGACUAGGUGCCCUUACUCAUUUUGCCUAUAUAAAUUGUAGGUAAUAAUUUUUAACACAUAUUGUCUUCAAUCUCAUACCGUUGUCAAUUUCUCAAAUCUCAAUUAUAAUUUUCUUUUCCUUUUCAUCUAUUAGACUCUCAGAUUAAUCUUCAUAUUUAGUAAAAAAGAAGUGUUUGCCUUAUCCCUACUGUAUCAAUAGGUAUGUGAGUCUUCUUGUAAUCUUUAUUGUUUAUUUAAAAAAUCUCAACAAAUAGUCAAUGACAUUGGAUCUAGGAAUGGAAAAAAAUUUCUUUACCGCCCGAAACCGUGAUAACCAGCCCAGUUGAAACUGAUUUGGGUGGGGUGAAAUGGGUCGGCGGGUCACGUGGACUCAAAAGGACGGCUUAUUAUGGAUAGUUACGGGUCGGUUUGAACCGUGUUUAUUGGCCCAACGAUUACCAAUACAGACCGACCCAGUAUAUAUUGUUAUUAUAUUUUAUAAUUAUAUAAUUAUAUAAUCUUAUGUGUUACCCUAGCAGCUGCACAAUCUCUCUGUAACCACACCAAUUCCUAACUGCCGCCACACAUAGACUCUUACUCUUCUCUAUUCACUCAGAUCUCCACCGUUUCUUUCACCUUGACCUUGCUCCUUCGUUCCAGAUCUCUUUAUUCUGGUGACCUCCACUAUUAAUUAUUUACACUCGUCAUCAACAACAACAACACAAAUUCAAGAAUACAUAAACAGAGAGUAACUCGGAAAUUAAACGAUGACGAAUGCACUAGGAGAUCAGAUCCACGCUGAAAAUGUUGAUUUUGAUCUGAUUUAUUUCUUUUCUUAUUCCAUUUGUAUUUAGAUUCAUUUAUUUGUGGUGUAACACCCCGUUUUCCCAACAUAAAAAUUUCAUAAAUUNGCAUAACAUUGAUAUCAUACAAGAUUUCAUUCACAUUAUCAUGACUUUGCAUAACCAUUAAAAUCUCGUUUGUUUACAUACUCAAAUGUACUUGACAGCGUGAGGCUUAUUUUCAGUCUUGUCAUAGUGGCAAUUACACUUACGAUCUCCUAUGAGAUAGCUUCAACUCCAAAAAUUCAUUAUUUUGGUUUUCAGGACACUUGCAUAAGAAAAAUCAUCGGACGAAAAUGUUUAACUCCUUAAUACUUUACUUCGUUCUUAACUCAUUAGCACUAGCGACAUCCUUUCCUAUAACAGAACCUUAAAAAUGAUUUUCAAAUUCAAAAAUCUUGAUUAAUCAUUAACACAUCAACUUAUUAUAUUCAUGCGGUAACACAUUCUGUUGAAAGAAUUUGACAUUACUCGUCCAUUAAUUCACUGAACUCCGAUAACUUAUUAUUAAAUCUUUAUUUUCCGUUUCAACCGAAAAUUACAUCUUGUCUCAUGCCAUUACCGGGAUCUCUUUCCACCUACUGCUAAACUUGUAUUUCUUAGUUCAGAAGACAACUUAAUAACUUGUGAUAGAUACGGGGUCUAAUUUAGUUUUCUCGUGUACAACUCCCGUUAUCUUAACUUCUCUAUAAUUAUUGUCAAUAAAAAUACAUCUGAAUCUUACUUGACCCAUAAAAGAUCCUUGCACUACUCUUUAUUCAUCCUUCUUGACUCUUACGCCGCAUAGCACCUUCACUUCGUGAUUCAUAAAUCUGGCACUUAAGAUUCGGGGAAUGUGGCUAAUCUGACAUAGUUUAUCUAGUUUGCGUUGUCCACUCCGUAAAGGGGUUAUUUUCGUCUGUUCUAAAAUAAUUUACUUAAUUUUCCAAUUAAUUCACUUAACAACUCAGACAUUAAAAUCUUGAGUGUUUCUUACAUCUUCUACUUCUCCUGAGCACUUAUAAAUUCUGUUAACCGUCUAAUAAUUCCCUCACGUCAAGUUCCUCUCCUGAUCCCGCAUCCUUAUUUACGCCUUCAGAAAUAUUUCUUUUCUUUAUACCUAGCUUAUGCUUCUUAUACUACUGCUCUUGUUAAGGUUAUAAUCAUCCCUUAAUCGUCCUGAAUAUCUUACUUCUCUUGUAUCCACAUAUGAAGUGUUGUUCAAUGACAUUAAAGUAAUCCGUCUUACCCACAACAUUUCCCUUAUAUACUCGAAGAAUCUUAAGCUUCGCAGUUACCAGCCACAAUUGGAGUCAAAUACUUCCUUAACAAGAUUCAUCACAAAACAUAACACCAUGAUGUUUCUUCUUCGGACGCUUCAUUCCUCCUAGGCCCUAUUCAGCUCUCAGACACUUGUUCUAACUAUCAUAUACUAGUCUGAGUUGAUCAGGCUCAGCUAGACAUGACAUUUAGAAUAAAUAUCCGGAACUCAAUGGUCCCACUGCAUUUUAUUGAAUUCUAAUGACCCAGGCACGAUCUGAAUCGACCUGCUCUGAUACCAAAUUGAAACACCCCUACUAGACAUUACCUAGGAUAUCUAGCAUGUGUGUUAAACUUGGCAUUGGAUACAUUAAAAUUUCAAUAAUAAAAAUUUCCUCUUAAUGAAAUAUGGAAAUGCUCGUCUUAUACCUCUGAAAUAAUACCAUUGACGUGAACUUCCUAUGAUCCGACAACUUCUGCCUCUUCACCACGAACCAUUCUGUCAUCUAGCAACCUGAAUAUCUGAAAUAAAUAAAAGGGAUUGGGGUGAGACAGGAUGUCUCAGUGAGUUGCACCUAUCCUAGGUUGUAGGCAAUCGCAGGGAACCUAGGAUCGCCAUCUGUUCUAAACUUAACCC
rnacentral:lncRNA from 1 species